CACAUAAUGCGGAUUGUAGUUGCUAUUUUUUUUAAGACGAACAAUAAUAGUGCGGUGAUAUGCAAGAGUAAAUGACUUUUGU
rnacentral:ncRNA from 1 species